CCUACGGGGGGCAGCAGUGGGGAAUAUUGCACAAUGGGGGAAACCCUGAUGCAGCGACGCCGCGUGAGCGAUGAAGUAUUUCGGUAUGUAAAGCUCUAUCAGCAGGGAAGAAAAUGACGGUACCUGACUAAGAAGCCCCGGCUAACUACGUGCCAGCAGCCGUGGUAACACGGAGGGGGCCAGCGUUAUCCGGAUUUACUGGGUGUAAAGGGAGCGUAGACGGCGGUGCAAGCCAGAUGUGAAAGCCCGGGGCUCAACCCCGGGACUGCAUUUGAAACUGUGCUGCUAGAGUGUCGGAGAGGCAGGCGGAAUUCCUAGUGUAGCGGUGAAAUGCGUAGAUAUUAGGAAGAACACCAGUGGCGAAGGCGGCCUGCUGGACGAUGACUGACGUUGAGGCUCGAAAGCGUGGGGAGCAAACAGGAUUAGAUACCCGAGUAGUC
rnacentral:rRNA from 1 species